GUUGUCUUCCUGGAGCCGUUGUUAAAAGAAAAGAACGUCGAUUUCGCUUGGAGCACCAAGAAGGUCAAGUUAUGUGAUGGCAUGGCAGAGGAAGCAGUGGCGUCUUCUCUUAAGAAUGGUUCUGAGUCAGGGGUGGCAGUCGAGUGGAGGCGCAAAUCGUCUUUUAAGGAUGUCUUGCAAGGCCAAUCGAUUGCUGAUUUUGAGAUGUGGGAUUCGGAAGAUUGUUCGGUUGAUUUGUCUGAUGAUGACUCCAAUUGUGAGAGUGAUGAGCUAACUGAUGACGAUUGACUCAACAUAAGAGUCUCCAAACCUGAGAAAUAUCUGCUACAGCGGCCGUGGCAAUCCACCCUUAUCAUCAAACUGCUCAAUCGUUCUAUUGGGUUCAGCUAACAUCAGAAGAGAUUACCACAGCCGUGGACUCUAAAAUCACCGUUUGACUUAAUUGAUCUUGUGAAUGGUUUCUUUAUGGUACGAUUUACCAAUGAAUCUGAGUAUGAACAGAUACUUUCGAUGGAGCUUGGGUAAUUGGCGACUAUUAUCUUACUAUUUGAUAAUGGCAGCCCAAUUUUGACCUUGAAUCUACAACGAUUGAUAGAGCAUUGGUGUGGGUUUGCUUACCUAAUCUCUUGAUCGAAUAUUAUGAUAAAAGAUUCCUGUUGUGAGUGGGUAGUAGGAUUGGACGCCCGGUUAAGAUUGAUGAGGCAACAUUGCAAGCUGCUCGCGGAAAAUACACACACAUUUGUGUGGAAGUCAAUUUCUCAAAGCCACUAUUAUCUAAGUUUCACCUGCAUAGGAGGGUUAGGCGUAUUGAAUAUGGGGGGAUGCAUUUAGUCUAUUUUGUUUGUAGUUACUGUGGCCACAGGAUGGACAAUUGCCCUGCUAAGGAAGUGCUAGAUAUGAAGGCUUUGCUCCUAUGGAUAUGGGUGACAGACCAUUGCCUCAUCCAUCAGAGUUACAUAAAGAAUAUACUACUGGUACAAGUUAUUCUGGUGAGAGUGGUGGGAUAGAAGUGGUUGAUACAUUUGGCCCUUAGAUGCUGGCCCAUAAAUCACGUUGCAAUUCUCCUCAUUCCGCUAGUGCUCUAUUGGCUGUGAAAUUGGUUGAUUUGACUAUUUCAAAUAAUCAUGGUCGAACUAGCUCCUCUUCUCGACAGGUUCCUGCUGUUAAUCGUUUUGAUAUUUUAAAUAAUAUCUUAGUGGAUGAUGCUAGCGAUAAUAAUGUUGCCUAUGUGCCUAUUCUUUUGAGUUCUCCAUUGAUGAACUCCCUUCAAUCCAAAGCUUGGGUUGGUACUCACUCUUCUGUCCUUGUUGGGCAUCGAUAGAAAUCUACUGCUCCUGAGAUUGGGCUGGUUCCAUCUGUUCCUCAAGCUCCUUUUGUGCUGGUUACCCCUACGUUUGUGUCUACCGAUACUGGAGGUACUUCUUUAUGCUCCCAUCAUAGGACUAAAAAGUCCAUCUCUGUAGCCAAACUUGAUGAUCAUGUAGUGGUAGUUGGUAAGGCUGGAAUUAGUACAGUUGAUUGCCGCAAGGUGUCUAACAAUUCCCUGAUGAAUGAUCCAGGAGAUUGUAUCUUGCCAUCUCAUGAUUCGGGGAUCUUGCGGGAUAUUUCGAAUGUUCCUAUUAGUAAUAUGAGUGCUCCUCAUCAGGUUUGUGACUCUGGUUUGACGGAUGCUUGUGAUAUUGCUGUAGAAAGGGGUUUCGAACUUGGUUCUCUUUAAUCUUUGAGUGUAAUGUUUAGCUUGUCUUGUGACACAGUGGUUGUGUUUUCUUCCUUAUUACUUAGUACUAUGACUAUUUUAGCAUGGAAUGUACAGGGUAUUAUGGGCAAGAGAAGUCAAUUUAUCCUUCAUGAUUUUUGCACUCACUUUAAACCUUCCAUUUUAGUUCUAGUGGAGAUUCAGGUUAGUGGCUUUCGAGUUGAUAUGAUUUUUCUUAAGAUGAGUUUUGAUUAUUGGUUUAGGGUGGAGGCAAUUGGCUUCAAUGAUGGCAUUUGGGUUUUCUGGAAUAACUCAAUAGGUCUGGUUUCUCUUCUAUCCACUCAUCCACAAUUUAUGCAUUGCCAAGUCGAUAAUCGGGUAGUGCUUCUUGGUAUUUUAUAGCUAUAUAUGGUAGUCCAAAGGCUCAUCUACAACAUAAACUUUUUCUCGGGUCUGUCCUCUUUGCAAAUCUCUUCUGCUACUCCUUGGCUUUUAUUGGAUGGUUUUAAUUAUGUAAUGAUGUUGGAUGAAACUACUAGUGUGUGCUCUAAUACUACUGCUAAAUGUGAUAGCUUUCGUGACUGAGUAAAUGAACAUGGGUAGAGCUAGACUUAGGCUUUGUUGGGUGCAAUUUCACAUGGUGCCGUGGAUGCUCUAUCGAUAUGGUUCUUGUUGCACGGUUAGAUAGGGGUUUGUGUAAUGCUUCUUGGCAUAUGCUUUUUCUACAAGCUAGCAUCAAACACUUGAAAGAUCUAACUCUGACCAUUGCCCCCUCUUACUUCACUGAGUGAUGCUUUGAAGGUGUAUAACAGUGGAAAGUUUCAUUUUCAGGUUGCUUGGCUUAAACAUCCGGGAUUCCUGUCUUGUGUCCCUCAGGCUUGGUCUUCUCAUGGAUUGGUUGUUAAUCGUCUCUGGUAUUUGGGUGGUAGGUUAAGUUUAUGGAAGCGAGAAGUAUUUAAAAAUAUUUAUGUUCGAAAGAGAAGGUUAUUGGUUCAUAUUAAUGACAUUCAGUGACUGGCUCAUGUCCAUUCCCAUGUGGGCUUACUUCAAUUGGAACAGAAGCGGCCAAAAGAUCUUGAUGCGAUUUUGGACUAGAGGAAAUUCAAUGGUACCAGAAAUCUAAAAAAUAGUGAAUUGUAGAUGGUGACCGCAAUACCAAAUGCUAUCAUGCUUGUGUAGUACUCAAGCGUAGUAGAAGCAUCAUUCAUAGCCUUAAAGAUGUCAAUGGGGUCUAGUGUUGGAAUCAGGUUGAAUUGUCGUAUAUGACUUUCUCUUUCUAUAAACUACUUUAUACUGAUGAGUCAAUUGAUGCCUCCUCUAUCAAUUAGAUCAAUCUUUCCCCCCUUAUGAAAAUGGAAGAUAUUUCUUUGUUGGCCUCUCCCUUUUUAGCUGAAGAAGUUAAAUUUGCUUUUUUUGGUAUGGAUCCCUUGAAAACUCCAAAGGAGAUAGCAGUUCAGAAGAAGAUGAUGAACAGAAAAAUGAAUGCGAAGGAAAUUGCGAUUACUACAAGUCGCUGUGUGCAAUGAAUGGUCUUCUAGUACUAACAAGAGAAGACAACCUCAUUCUGGAUUUAAUCGAUAUCUUUGGCGCGUUUGAAUUUUGUCCUGGAGCAUUCUCCCUUUUCUUGUGGCUUUUCUUUGUCUAUUUUCAUAUAACAGGGCUUCAGUCCAAGCUUGGAUAUAGUCAAAGUAACUAUACCAUCUUGGUCUUCUAUAUCUCAGUUCUCUUUGACCCUGAUAGAUUCCCGGCAUAUUUUUAUCAAAAAGCCUGGAAAGUGGUUGGUCGGUUAAUAGUAGCAAUGGUCUUGGAUGUCCUUUAGGGUGAUUCUAUUCCCAGUGGUAUCUGUAAGAUCCUAAUUACUUUAAUUCCUAAAUUUCAAGGCUCGGAGUUAUUUCUCAAUUUUGAUCAAUAAGCUUGUGUAAUUUUUACCUAUAAGGCUAUCUCAAAGAUCCUUAUGAAUCAUAUGAAAAGGGUUAUUCCUUCUCUCAUUUCUCCUAAUCAGUGUUGUUUCAUCCCUGGUCGACAGCUUCAUGAUAAUGUCAUCAUUCUUUAGGAGGUGGCCCAUUCUAUUUAGAGACGUUUGAGUGGUGAUGGUUGGAUGAUUUUAAAGAUUGAUUUGGAGAAAGCUUACGAUAGGCUUAGGUGGGACUUUGUGUUAGACUCUAUGCAAUUGGCAGGUUUCCCGAGCAGUUGAGUGAUGAUUGUUUCUAAUUGCCUGUCCUCCUACUUUAUAUGUGUCUUCCUGCUCUAUAUGUGUUCUAUGGAAUAAUCAACCUUCCCCUCGAUUUCAACCCUUAAGAGGUGUUCUUUAAGGGGACCCACUCUCACCAUAUUUAUUUAUCUUAGUCAUAGAAAGGUUGGGUCAUCUUAUAAUGGUAGUUGGGUUCAUAUUGAAUUGUCUCAUCGUUGUUCUCCCCUAUCUCAUCUUUUCUUUGUUAAUGAUCUCAUUAAAAAAUAUCUCGAUGAGUUUUGUGCUGGCUUUGAGCAAAGGGUUAAUUAUUCAAAAUCUAAGAUCCUUUUUUCACCGAAUGUGACUACUCAGUUACAAUAGUUAAUUUGUGAUAUUGCAGGGAUGUCUAUCACUAUUGACCUUAGAAAGUACCUGGGCAUUUCAAUUUUCUAUGGAUGUACACAUAAGUAUAUGUUUGCACCACUAUUUCAGAGAAUGAAUGUUGCUCUAUUAGGUUGGAAAACUUCGCUGCUCUCUCUCUUGAGCAUAAUUACUUUGGGAAAAUCUGUUCUCAAUGCUUUGCCUAAUUAUAUUAUGCAGUCCUUCUAUCUCCCUUGGGCAGUUUAUGAUCUUCUUAAUAAGAAAAUUUGUGACUUUAUUUGAGGUGACCAAACUGGGAAAAGACGGGUCCAUGCAGUACAUUGGGAUAUCAUUACAUUGCCUAUUGAUCACGGAGGCUUGGGUAUUCAUAGUUGCCGAGAGAUGAAUAUUGCUUUUUCUUGCUAAUUUGGGUUGGUGUCUUCUUCAUGAUUACAACAGUCUCUGGAGUCUCAUUUUACGAGGUAAAUAUGGGGUGACUUAUUGGAGUGCAGAUGUUUUCUCUCCUAAGAACAAUUCGUCUAUUAUUUGGCGUAGCUUUGUUCACAGUGCUCCUUUGCUUCAAAAAGUCCUUCCAAUCUCUCAUUGUUGCGCAGUUGAGGUCUUCGGGGUAUUGGGCAUGGGACUUGAUACGACCUUAUCUUGAAUGCCUUCUAUUAAAACCCAUUUUCAUUGUUCAAGAUGUUAGAGCUUAUGAUGAGAUCUCCUGGUGGUUCACAUCUUCAGGAGCAUUUUUCAGUUAAGUUUGCAUAUGAGUUGAUAGACAAGUUUGAUAGUUGGCCUAGGGAUGGUAUGUAGAAAUUGCUUUGGAAAAUCAAAGUGCCCCAACAGUGUCACAUAUUCUUCUAGUUGGUUGCUCAUGGAAAUAUUAUGAUUAAUGUUGAAAUAUUUAAAUAUGGGUUUACUAAUAACCCGGCUUGUACUAUUUGUACUCAUAGAGAGGAAACAAUCCUUUAUAUGUACAUGACUGCCCUACUGCCCAUCAUAUCUGGAAUAAGAUUUGGGACCUUGGUACGUGUGAAUCAUUUUUCGAUUUGUCUGUGGUUGAUUGGCUAUGAUACUGUGUUGGCUUUACAUCCUCUUUAAUAAUUGCUUGUUAACCUCUUGGGAUUUUAUUUGUCGUAAUGUAGUGGAUUUGAAAUGGUGAAAUACUGUGGUUUUCCAACAAGUACUUGAUGGUCUACAACUUGAUAUGAAAUUACGUUCUUUAUUACAUUCUCUACAUUGCAAUAUGGAUGCUUGGUUGUACCGAUCCUUAUCUUUUAGUAAGCAGGGACAUACUGUUAUUCUUGUAUUUUGGCAACCUUCUAAUGAUGAGUGGGUUAAGUUUAAUUGUAAUAGGGCAAGUACAGGAAAUUCUGGUCGUAGUGAUACUGGUAGUGUGAUUCGUAAUCAUAUGGAGGCUGGAUUGUGGGCUAUUAUAUUCGAUUGAGUGUAUGCAGUGGUAUUGUGGCUGAAUUAUAAAACCUUAUCUAUAGUUUAUCUUAUGCAUAGGAACAGAGUUUUUAUUAGGUGGUAAUGAAUGUAGAUUCUCAGUUGGUUUUAGAUUUACUGUCUCAUGAAGUGGUAUUGAAUUAUCGAUUAAAGGGAUUACUUUUAGUGUCUUAUGAAGUGAUAUUGAGUUAUCGGUUAAAGGAGUUACUUUUGCAAUGCGAAUCUCUUCUAUCUAGAUCAUGGCAUAUUCAGUUACUCUAUUGUUAUAUAGAAGCAAAUCAUGUAACUGAUUAUCUUGUAAAUUUUGCUGACUCUGCAAAUACAUGCUGUCAUACUCUUAAUUUGUUA